rnacentral:tRNA from 1 species
AUAUUGUUUUAAUUAUCUAUUUAUGGUAACCUACUGUUUGUUAACAGGGCACAAAACCGCCUCCUAAGCGGUAGGUCGCGCGUUCGAUUCGCGCUCGGGGCACCA